rnacentral:snoRNA from 1 species
GUUGUCAAUGAUGUUUUACUACUUUCUUUUGAGUUUCAAUGACCAUGAGAUUACCUUACAUGCACUACCAUCUGAGGCAUC